GCAAGUCGAACGGUAACAGAUCUAGCUUGCUAGAUGCUGACGAGUGGCGGACGGGUGAGUAACGCGUAGGAAUCUACCUAAUAGUGGGGGACAACCUGGUGAAAACCAGGCUAAUACCGCAUACGCCCUACGGGGGAAAGCAGGGGAUCUUCGGACCUUGCGCUAUUAGAUGAGCCUGCGUUAGAUUAGCUUGUUGGUGAGGUAAUGGCUCACCAAGGCGACGAUCAAUAGCCGACCUGAGAGGGUGAUC
rnacentral:rRNA from 1 species